rnacentral:lncRNA from 1 species
AGGAAAUUGGUAGACUCAACGUCCAGGGAACCUACGAAUCUGCUAUCCCAAGCCUUCUGCCCCCAAACACUUCACCCUGAAAUACAGCCCAGAGCAUGCACUCAGUGAGUCCCACUGAAGAAGAGACGGAAGGCAGAACUGAACAAGAUGUGUCCAGAAGAGGUAGCCAUAGAUCAUGGACAUGACCAAAAGAAGCUUACUUUAUUUUCAACCCUACAACCAUACUGAGAAUUUAGCCCUGGGGACAUCUUCCGAUAUAAUCUGGCAUAGAAGAGUGGUUAUCACACCUUUAGCAUGGGAAAGAGCCACAGAUUUGCUUCUUCCUAGCAAGGGCGUGAUACUAAUUCCAGAUCCAUCCAAAUAUUGUUCACUGCUUCUUAGACAGAGACCCCUUUCUCCCAGGACCCUUGAGACACCUUUGCUGUGAAUAAUGGAGAAGCAAAAGGAGUUACUAAUGAAGACAAACUAAACCUGAGAACAGAGAGAGCCUAACUAUGUGCUCCAGAAGUGCCAUGUGUGUCUAAGGACAUCAGCAAGAUGAUGAAAAGGGAGUUUUCUACUGUCAUUCCCCAAAAGAAGCAUCAAUUUUACAACUACUCAUGGACAAGAGUAUCCUUGUAGGAAUCUAAGAGUUUAGCAAAGAAGUUUCAGCACAUUCUCAGAGCAAAAAGUUUGAGUAUGCAUACGGAGAAGAGAAGAGAAUAAGAACAGUUGCACUUUACCUGCACUUUUUCU